GCGUCGUUAGCGCAAUAGGAAGCGCGUCAGUCUCAUAAUCAAAUCUAGAAAUCUGAAGGUCGUGAAUUCGAUCAUCACACGAGGCA
rnacentral:tRNA from 1 species